GGUUUUUGCCUCGUAAGGACUCCAUCUUCCUCACACCCAGGUGGAGUUCAGGACAACCUCAGGCUGGUUUCCAAGUGGAGAUGUCACACCACAAAAUCUCCCUCUGCGCCAUGCCAUUGUCGGUGCUGAUUUGACCAUCUCAGUGAAGAAGCCAAGGAUCGAAUGAUCCACAGUGCCAGACUUCUCUUUUUCAGCCUGCAGGAACCGGGUCCAUCCCAGCAUGGGAAUGGAGCACGGCCCCAGUGCUGCCAGCAGAUAGCAGAGACCCCAUGAGAUGCCUACAGAGAGGCAACACGGAGGUGAAUCUUCAUCAAAGCCUGGGCUUGGCUGUGUAAUGUGCAACAAAAGCAAGUGGUUGGAUUAUUCUAAGGGUUUUUUUUUUUUAAUGAUGUGGUUGGUGCUGCUCCUGUUCUCUCCUCCUGAGAGUGUGUCUGGCAUUCAAAUAUGGAGCAAGGGUGGGUGACUUUGCUUAUAACCCCAUUUUAAACCCGUUUGAGGAUGAACGUGUUUCUUCGUAAAUGAAGCUUGCAUGGUAUGCCAUAAAUUGCUGUUUUUUUUUAAUGGGUGUUUGCACUAAGCCUCGCUGAACAAGUUUAGAGAGAUGAUUAACUCGUCUGAAAUGGCACAGGAAGGCCCUGUCCUGGCCGUGUGGGCUUUGUGCAGCACAUCCAGAGCUGCUGUGGCCCCGUGUCAUCUGCUUGCUAGCUGGGCCUGCAAAUGGGGCCGGGGAGGAGGCUGCGCCGCUAAGAGGCAGUGAUAUGAAAGGUUGGAAUUUGCACAUGUUCACUGAAAAAGGAACUGGUGUUUUUUUUUUCUUAAUAAGCAAGGAGUUAUCCCAGGCUGGCUUCCACAGAAGUGAUCUGCAACUCCCAGGGGGUCGAAGGAGGAAACCCAAAGUUCAUUAGCAGUUUUCUUGCAAACAUUGUUUCAGUGGCAGCAGCACUCACCCCUGCGCAUGGCAGGGACGCUCGCAGGGCUUUGUUUCGCUUUGUUCGGCCCCAAGAGUUCCUCGUGUGGGUCAGACCAGAGCAUGUGAUGAAAGCACCACAAGUGUUGGCCAUGGGAAAGCUGUCCGGCGGUAAACCCUCAUCCCCAGAGCAGAGACAGCAGAGGGGCUCCGGGCUGGCUGUCUCCCCUUGCUCCUUUCAUGCCACGCAUGACACCAAAUGGUAAGAAACAGAUUUCUGUGUUCAUGGUGUUGCCUGUCACACCGGAGUGGGAGCCUACAGCGAGCUGUGCCUGGUCUAACAAAGGCUCUGCCCUGAAACCCAUUGGGAUGCUUUUCCACAUCUACAGUACGACUUUGCCAACUCAACCUUUCCUUGCUGAAAGCAGCCCGGGUGACAGAAAACUGGGCACGGGUCAUUUCACAAAAAAGGUAUUUUAUUAUUCUUAGCAAUAUUCACCUUGAAGGAAUAUGAGGAAAGCAUACGCUUUUUACAGACAAUAUAUAAACAUGUUGUACAUAAUUAACAAUAACUUAGUUCACUAAUCCAAAAAUAAGCAAAAUAAAAAAAUUAAAAUAAAAACAGAAAAUACUGCAGAUUUUUUUUUUUUAAUAUGCUGAUACAAGUACAAAAUAAUUUAAAUCUCAACUGCCAUUGUCUAUGCUGCAGUGACCGACAAUAUAUUGCACUUUGUCAACUGUAUCAGUAAUCCCUGUCUUCCACCCACGUCCCUUCCCCACCCCCUGCACAAAUCCUACCGAAAUUUGAGUCGGGUACAAAUAAUGUACAACUGUACCAUUGUAAAAGGUAGAAAGUAAAAAGGAUCCGAUUCUUUUUUUCCCUCAGUAGAUUAAGAAGGUUUGUGAUUUCUCCCAACUGCUUUUGUUUUCCCGUUCGUUUCCACUUCUUUACAAAGUGCACCUAUAUGCCUACGCAGACCAGGAAAAGGAUGCAAGCAGGAUUUUCCAUGUCUGCCUGGUUCUUAAUUCAUUACCAAAUUUUCGAAUUACAUGGUUAGAAAAAGAAAAUUAACAUACAUCUGUUUUUAUUUGUUUUGUUGUGUUUUUUCUUUCUUUAAAGCAGGACUGUUGCAGUAAAGAUACAAUUGGCUUGAUCCAAAAUAUUAAAAAAAAACAAAACAAAAAAAAAACAACCCCAUCAACAACAAAAAAGUUAAAAGUUAAAAAAAAAAAAAAAAAAAGAAAGAAAGAAGCUUGUCACAGAGUUAAGCUUACAUGGUUUACAUUAUCAAACCCCUCUGCUCAUUGGGGCAUUUUCAUCAGAAGUAUAGCUAAAUAUGUACACUGUAUGUUAUACUGGAGCUUGUGUUCACGAGAGGCAUCAGAUCAUAACAAUCAAUAGAAUACACUUCACAUUGGCAAUAGCUUUGUUUUCGAUCAUUUACGUACAACGUGGUUUAAUAAUGGGAGCUCUAAGGUUUUUUUUCUUUUUCUCUUUUUUUUUCCUCUUUUCUUACAAAACGCACUACGGAAGGCGGCCGUACGGCGCUUUCCCUCAUCUCAUCAGCUGUCGCUGCGUCUGGGGUUUGACGGAUGUGUGAAGCUCAAACUGAUUGUCUCUCCCUUUCCCCUCUCCAGUGAUCUCAACCUCAUUUCUGCCCUUCCUCCCUGCGAAGUCCAUGGGGGCUGGAUGCCUGAGACAGCACGCGCUGCCUUGCUGUGUGCGGACCCGCUGCCGCGCUGCCCUAAGUUUACCCAAGGAGCUGAGCUGCAUUUUUUUAAGCAACAGCUGCCAACACAACAGAACAAAAUGCUUCAACCUCUGCAGUCUGUGAGUUGGAUGGGUUUAUGCCCUGCCAUUUUUUUCUGUUGUUUUGCUGCAUGUUAGCUGCAGCGAUUUGGUAUUUUAGCCCUCGCUAGUGCAGGACUGCCUUCCGGGAGCGUCUUCCCACCAGUUAGUCUGAUGGAGCUGUCUGGUUCAAGGAAUGAUAUGGUAGCUGGGAGGGGGGCUGUUGUGUGGGUUUUUUUGUUGUUGUUUUUUAAAAUAAGUCAUUCUUUUCCCUAACAUGAAAGAAGAAAUUGUGUCAAAAAUAAUCAUCGUCUUGGGCGCUUUGAAAUCCCAUGCUGCGGCUACAGUUCUCGCUUUGCCCACCCUCUCUUUCUUCCCUUCCUAGGGGAUAUUUUGGUAUGGAAGAUAGAUGGAGCAAAUCCAGGAGGGCCACUGAAUAUUGUCCCUCCCCAUAUUUACGAAGGCAGAUUUUCAUACAGGGUAGUAGCCAUUGCAACCAACAGCACAAAAACAUGCACUCAGAGGGGUUGAGGCUUUUUGUGGAAAACAAGAGCAAAAUAAAUAUGACUUUCUGUCUGAUUUCAUUUUAAAAAUUAAGUUUUUAUAAAGACAUCCUUUUUUUUUUUCUUUUUUUUCUUUUUUUUUUCUUCCCCCUCCCCAAACAGAGUCCACAAUAGAAAUCCAGCAUGUGUGGCUUCCAGUGAGCCGAUUUCAUCCUGGGAGGCUGCUUAUAUCUCUUCACAAUAUUCACAGUAAUAACAAAGAGAGAAAGGAAAGCCAGUUCCAGCCUCUUCUUUCUGCUUCUGCCACCUUUUGCUUUCUGCUAGACAACUGAAUAUCGACCAGAUGAACGCAUUCCCAAAGAUGGCCAUCUCUCCUCUGCAAACAAGCAAACUACAGUGGAAAAAGGGGCAAUAAACAAAGCUGUAAAUCAAUUGAAACAACAACAACAAACAACCAAACGAAGAGAAAAGCUCUCUGUCUGCUUGCAGUGGGAUGUAGUUGUGGAGCAGCUACCCAUGUUACUGCUUUGUGCUUCAGCACAACAUGGGAACCACGGCAAGGCAUGGCAGAGCGGCCCUACAGAAACCCAGCAUGCAGCUCCUACGUGUGUCUGUGCCUCAGAAAGCUCUCUGCUAGAAGUUCAUUCGCCUCCGACGGUUCGAGGGCAGGUCUGCUUAAUAUAGAAAUCUCUUCAUAUAGUGUAUGCAAAUCCUACAGCGUUUAAGCGGAGAGGAAAUUCUCCUUUUGCUAAUAACUGCAGCAGGCCACGCCGAGUUCAGCGGGGUUGUGCCUCCUUUAAUCUAGGGAGUGGGUGGCUUUUAAACAACACGGUGAAAAAUGAGGGGAGCUCUCAGUGCUGCGUUUGGAGCUUUUGUCCCUCCUUGGGCAGGAAGCUGCCGGAGUCGCCGUGUCGUGAGCCUGAGCUUUCCUACAAAAACACCGGGUGGUCACGAACUUUCCCCAGUUCCCCCCAGCACGGGGGGCUCCCUUGCAGGAAAAAAAGGAAAAACAAACAACGGAGCCCCAGGCUUCCCCCAUUUAAUAAAGCUGCCGGCGACCACAGGAUAAAAUAAAAAGCUCCUCGAGAUCCGGUUAUCUUCAGAGAUGGGGGCCUUGGGUCUGUUUGUAAGUCAGGGGCUCAGGCGGCUAAUUGCAUCUUCUUACUGCGCUGUGCACCGCUAAAAGAAUGCAUGCAUGUAGCAGCAACUGCAUUUAAGUAGUGACUGUGGUGUUCCCUUCAGAGGGGCCGUUUGAAUCGGAGCUGGUGAGGCUGUAAAGUGUCUGAUGCUUUUGUUGCAAAACUCGUAAAGGAGCACAUUUCUGAAUUGCUUUAAAAAUAAUUGCAUGUGGUGUAUUCAGUGAUAUUUAAGAACACACACACAACAGCUUACAUGGUUGCUAAUUUUCAAGGGCUAUCUUAAUGCAGUACCAGUACACCGUAUUGAAAUACAUCGUACAUCUUUUCCUUCUGAUGGCUGAUUUUAAAGCAGGAAGGUCAGAGUUACAGAAAUGUCCUUAAUUCUAUGCCUGGUUGUACAACUGGGGUCAUUCAAUCAGCAUUUCAACCGUCGCAGUUUGCUGAUUUGGAACUGCACUGCCAGGUAGAAAUGCAAGGCAGAUCUGUGGAAAGCUCUGCACUACGGAGCAGAGAUGUUUGGAUCAGAAAGAAGCAGUGUUUUCUGGUCGGGCUGCAGUAAGUUAGCGAUGACUGGACACCUUAGUCUUUAGCACUGGUAUGUAAACUAUAUUUGAACUUUUGCUCCUUUAAAUGUGAAGGAAAUAGGGCCGGCACGGAGCGGCCGGGGAAGUUUCGCUUUCACCCUGCGCUGGGGCCUUCUCUCUUAUUGAAGAGGAGACGUGAAAAAUUAUCAAAGGGGAAACAACUCUGAGCAGAAAGUCCCCACGUGGAACUCGGGGGGGAUGGGGGGUUAACCACUUCGGGAGAACGUGAGCCCUUGGGGGCCACAGCCUGCCGGGGGCUGUUUGACAUUCUUCCCCAUAUAAAUCCUUCUUUGUAGUGCGAUCUGCUGCGCUGCUCACUCCGUGUCCCUCGGCCCCAUCCGAGUGCCCCAGGGCUCAGCAGCCGCUGCCAGCACGAUGGCACCAGGGAAGCCUGGUACAAGCUCCAUUUAAAAAUGCAGCACGGUGAAGCCAAGCAGUCACCUGCCCUUCUGUCCCAAAGAGAGCUAGCACAAACCCCGGCCCUACAGCCGCCUACGGCUUCAACUAUAUACUGCAAGCACAGCCAACCACGACGCGCACGCAUGCAGCACAACGGCCCUAAAUUUAGUCCUCCCACCCAAGGGAUAGCAUCAAUGCAUGGCAGGGGUGCUCC